rnacentral:rRNA from 1 species
AUAAUCACAUGAUUAGUAUGGUAAAGUUCCGACGGAAAGAGAUGGACAUGCGUGUCAUUAGUUAGUUGGUGAGGUAACGGCUCACCAAGACGACGAUGACUAGGGGUUCUGAAAGGAUGAUCCCCCACACUGGUACUGAGACACGGACCAGACUCCUACGGGAGGCAGCAGUGAGGAGUAUUGCGCAAUGGAGGCAACUCUGACGCAGCCAUGCCGCGUGCAGGAGGACGGCCCUACGGGUUGUAAACUGCUUUUCUUAACUAAGAACCGUGGAUAAUCUUAUCCACCUGACUGGUUUUGGAAUAAGCAUCGGCUAACUCCGUGCCAGCAGCCGCGGUAAAUACGGAGGAUGCAAGCGUUAUCCGGAUUCACUAGGUUUAAAGGGUGCGUAGGCGGAAUAAUAAGUCAGUGGUGAAAUCUUGCGGCUCAACCGUAAAAUUGCCAUUGAUACUGUUACUCUUGAGUAUGGUUGAGGUAGGCGGAAUGAGUAAUGUAGCGGUGAAAUGCUUAGAUAUUACUCAGAACACCGAUUGCGUAGGCAGCUUACCAAGCCAUCACUGACGCUGAGGCACGAAAGCGUGGGUAGCAAACAGGAUUAGAUACCCUGGUAGUCCACGCCGUAAACGUUGAUUACUCGUUGUUGGCAAUACACCGUCAGCGACUGAGCAAAAGCAUUAAGUAAUCCACCUGGGGAGUACGUCAGCAAUGAUGAAACUCAAAGGAAUUGACGGGGGCCCGCACAAGCGGAGGAACAUGUGGUUUAAUUCGAUGAUACGCGAGGAACCUUACCUGGGCUUAAAUGUUUAGUGAUCGACCGGGAGACCGGUUUUUCAUUCGGGACACUUUACAAGGUGCUGCAUGGUUGUCGUCAGCUCGUGCCGUGAGGUGUCGGGUUAAGUCCCAUAACGAG